rnacentral:rRNA from 1 species
AUUGAACGCUGGCGGCAGGCUUAACACAUGCAAGUCGAGCGGGGAAAAGUAGCUUGCUACUGGACCUAGCGGCGGACGGGUGAGUAAUGCUUAGGAAUCUGCCUAUUAGUGGGGGACAACAUCUCGAAAGGGAUGCUAAUACCGCAUACGUCCUACGGGAGAAAGCAGAGGACCUACGGGUCUUGCGCUCAUAGAUGAGUCUAAGCCGGAUUAGCUAGUCGGUGGGGUAAAGGCCUACCAAGGCGACGACCUGUAGCGGGCCUGAGAGGAUGAUCCGCCACACUGGGACUGAGACACGGCCCAGACUCCUACGGGAGGCAGCAGUGGGGAAUAUUGGACAAUGGGGGGAACCCUGAUCCAGCCAUGCCGCGUGUGUGAAGAAGGCCUUUUGGUUGUAAAGCAUUUUAAGCGAGGAGGAGGCUACCGAGAUUAAUACUCUUGGAUAGUGGACGUUACUCGCAGAAUAAGCACCGGCUAACUCUGUGCCAGCCGCCGCCGUAAGAC